rnacentral:rRNA from 1 species
UAUGGGCGCUAGCCUGAACCAGCCAGUAGCGUGAAGGAUGAAGGCUCUNCCGGUCGUAAACUUCUUUUAUAUAAGAAUAAAGUGCAGUAUGUAUACUGUUUUGUAUGUAUUAUAUGAAUAAGGAUCGGCUAACUCCGUGCCAGCAGCCGCGGUAAUACGGAGGAUCCGAGCGUUAUCCGGAUUUAUUGGGUUUAAAGGGAGCGUAGGUGGACUGGUAAGUCAGUUGUGAAAGUUUGCGGCUCAACCGUAAAAUUGCAGUUGAUACUGUCAGUCUUGAGUACAGUAGAGGUGGGCGGAAUUCGUGGUGUAGCGGUGAAAUGCUUAGAUAUCACGAAGAACUCCGAUUGCGAAGGCAGCUCACUGGACUGCAACUGACACUGAUGCUCGAAAGUGUGGGUAUCAAACAGGAUUAGAUACCCUGGUAGUCCAAGGGCGAAUUC